GUAGCACUUUGUCCUGCUUAACUGACCUAAAGUGACUCAUGUGUGGCCAAGGGGGGAGCAAGCUCUGAGUCACUGUCAAAACGGCAGGGCUGGGAUGUGAAACCUGGUCUCCAACACGGUUGCUUUUACUUCAGUGUAAUCAACUCUCCAACUUUAUACCAAAUAAGGGCACAGGGAAUUACAUAAUAGCCUAUGAUGGAAAAGAAUGAAAGCCUAAUCUACAUAUGUCUUAAUCACUUUGCCGUCCCCCCAAAACAACAUUGUUCAUCAACUGUGGUUAAAAAAAUGAACUGCCCAGUCAGGUCGGCAGCAGACCAGCCCCCGCCAUGAUGAUCUCUUGGGCCUGAGCAAGUACUGUCUGAACUGGUGCUGAGUUUCAGCAUCUUCUGGAGAAGCUGGAAGACUCCCUGGAAGCACAGACUUCGCUGGAAAGCAAAGCAGUUAGGAAAGGCUGGGGAUUGUUCCUGGUGCCGAACAAGCUAAUGGAGGAAGAAGGUCUGUUUUCCUGACAAAUGGGGACAAUGAAGAGCAACCACCGAAGAUGCAAGUAUAUGGAACUGGAAAUGAGUGUGCUUUUACCGCCACCUAGUGAACAAAUGCAGUAUUGCAUACAGGAUAUUUGCAUAUCCAGUGCUUGGAAUACUUCUUUUCUUGUUUGGCCUUGCUGCUGCCUGUGGACCUUCUGGGGCCUGGGAUGGAAUGCGUGCCACAGCAGUGACAGCGCUGGAUCCUUAACCCGCUGAUCCAUUAAGGAACUCCUCGGAAUACUUAAAAUACACUCGUUCGUUCAACAAACAUUUAGUUUUAUUGCUGAGUAGUAGUCCAUUAUAUGGAUAUUAUAAUUGGAGUUAUUUCCCAUUUUUGGUAAAAAUGAAUAAAGCUGCUAUAAACAUUUA